rnacentral:rRNA from 1 species
AUGAUGAGAAUACUAAUGAAAGGAGAGACUUCCCAAUAUCCUCCUAUUAUUUCUCAUGAUGAAUCAGGUAAUGAGGGGGAGCUUUCUAUUCAACCAAUCUCAUCACUAAGGAGCUCAAAGAGGAAGGUUAAACCCACACAUAAUGAGAAUAAGAAAAAGAAAAGAAGAAGCAACAAAGGUAGAAAGGUAUCCCUCCCAAAUGAUGUUGCUCCUACUACUCAUUGUGAUGAUGGUAAUUGUUUUACUAUUGGUGUUAUCCAUAUUUUUAAUGAUGAGUAUGAAAUAUUUGAGAAUAUAUUUGCUGGAAUUAAUGUUUGA